rnacentral:rRNA from 1 species
CAGCCGCCACGGGAAUACGUAGGUGGCAAGCGUUGUCCGGAAUUAUUGGGCGUAAAGGGCUCGCAGGCGGUUUCUUAAGUCUGAUGUGAAAGCCCCCGGCUCAACCGGGGAGGGUCAUUGGAAACUGGGAAACUUGAGUGCAGAAGAGGAGAGUAAUUCCACGUGUAGCGGUGAAAUGCGUAGAGAUGUGGAGGAACACCAGUGGCGAAGGCGACUCUCUGGUCUGUAACUGACGCUGAGGAGCGAAAGCGUGGGGAGCGAACAGGAUUAGAUACCCGAGUAGUCCCUGUCUCUUAUAACA